GUGCUUGCUUUGGCAGCCCAUAUACUAAAAUUGGCACAAUACAAAGAAGACUUGCACUGCUCCUGGGCAAGAAUGACACGCAAAGUCUUGAAGCAGUCCAUGUUUUU
ensembl:snRNA U6 U6 spliceosomal RNA